AGAAGACAACAUGGUCUAGUGGAAGUUGUCUCUGCCCAUGGCAGAGGGGUGGAACUGCAUCAUCUUUAAGGUCUCAGCUCAAACCCUUCUGUGAUUCUAAGCAUCUACAAAGACAGAAGCAGAAGGUUCAGCAGAGCCAGCGGUGGCUCAGUCCCUCCAUGUUUCCUGUGUGCAAGGCUCGUGUUGUAACUGGUUAGAUGGUUGUGCAGUGGAGGCAAGAGAGGGGUUCAGAAUGCAUGAAAGAACCCAGAGAAGACUCCUCCUGCUGACCACACUCGACAGACAAUGUGCGCCGCAGCAUUCCUUCAUUGUUCCGAACUAGGACCCAGGCUUGAGGUGUGCUCAGAGCUGAUUCAAGCAGCUGAAAACUACAGUUCCACAUAAGGUUUUGCAAUGAGAAAUGGUAUCAAAUACAGCCUGGAAAGGAUCUGACGAUCUCUAAUGAUCAAGUAUCUCAAGAAGUUCCAAACUGGCAUUAC